rnacentral:rRNA from 1 species
UACAGAGGUCUCGAGCGUUGUUCGGAUUCAUUGGGCGUAAAGGGUGCGUAGGCGGCGUGGCAAGUCUGAUGUGAAAUCCCGGGGCUCAACCCCGGAACUGCAUUGGAUACUGCCUUGCUAGAGUACUGGAGAGGGAACUGGAAUUUACGGUGUAGCAGUGAAAUGCGUAGAGAUCGUAAGGAAGGCCAGUGGCGAAGGCGAGUUCCUGGACAGUUACUGACGCUGAGGCACGAAGGCCAGGGGAGCAAACAGG